rnacentral:rRNA from 1 species
AUUGAACGCUGGCGGCAUGCCUUACACAUGCAAGUCGAACGGCAGCACGGGUGCUUGCACCUGGUGGCGAGUGGCGAACGGGUGAGUAAUACAUCGGAACAUGUCCUGUAGUGGGGGAUAGCCCGGCGAAAGCCGGAUUAAUACCUCAUACGAUCUACGGAUGAAAGCGGGGGACCUUCGGGCCUCGCGCUAUAGGGUUGGCCGAUGGCUGAUUAGCUAGUUGGUGGGGUAAAGGCCUACCAAGGCGACGAUCAGUAGCUGGUCUGAGAGGACGACCAGCCACACUGGGACUGAGACACGGCCCAGACUCCUACGGGAGGCAGCAGUGGGGAAUUUUGGACAAUGGGCGAAAGCCUGAUCCAGCAAUGCCGCGUGUGUGAAGAAGGCCUUCGGGUUGUAAAGCACUUUUGUCCUGAAAGAAAUCCUUGGCCCUAAUACGGUCGGGGGAUGACGGUACCGGAAGAAUAAGCACCGGCUAACUACGUG